GAUGAACGCUAGCUACAGGCUUAACACAUGCAAGUCGAGGGGAAACGAUAGAGAAAGCUUGCUUUUUCUAGGCGUCGACCGGCGCACGGGUGAGUAACGCGUAUCCAACCUGCCCAUCACUUGGGGAUAACCUUGCGAAAGUAAGACUAAUACCCAAUGACGUCUCUAGAAGACAUCUGAAAGAGAUUAAAGAUUUAUCGGUGAUGGAUGGGGAUGCGUCUGAUUAGCUUGUUGGCGGGGUAACGGCCCACCAGGGCGACGAUCAGUAGGGGUUCUGAGAGGAAGGUCCCCCACAUUGGAACUGAGACACGGUCCAAACUCCUACGGGAGGCAGCAGUGAGGAAUAUUGGUCAAUGGACGAGAGCCUGAACCAGCCAAGUAGCAUGCAGGAUGACGGCCCUAUGGGUUGUAAACUGCUUUUAUAAGGGAAUAAAGUGAGUCUCGUGAGACUUUUUGCAUGUACCUUAUGAAUAAGGACCGGCUAAUUCCGUGCCAGCAGCCGCCGCGG
rnacentral:rRNA from 1 species